GGAAAAUAAAAUUGCAUCCUCCCCUCCCCACUCUCUCUUUCUCAAAGCAGAAUGAUAAUUACUCUGUAUAAGCCAGAGAAAAACUGGCAUAAAAGGCCAAAUCUGUGCUUCUGACUGUUAAAUCUCAACCCUUCCUUCCUUAUCACACCCAUCUCUCCCUCUAUAUCUCUUCCUUCUAAUCUUGCCCUUCUUCCCUCUUCAUUGUUAUAUUGCCUCUAGCUUCUCCAUUAUCCAAACUCUCUGAAGCUCACACAACUCUUAGAAACCUAGCUAGCUAGAGAGUCCUUCACCUUCAUUCAUAUCCUUCUCCAUAAUAAGCUAUGGUUUUCUAUAUGGUUGGUGCAGCUCAGUAGCUCGACACCUCAUAUCUACCUAUUUAUUGCUCUCUGCUUCUUAUAUCUUUCAACUCAUUCAGACAGUGCAAUAAAGACUUGCUCUUUUCUAUCUUGCAGUAGUUUCCAGACACUUAGUUUCAGAUAGCUAUUUGGGAGUGUAAUUAAGCAUCUUCAAGCUUAAGCUCAUUUCAUACAAGAAAGCUGAAAAUGGCACCCAGAAACAGUCGUGGAAAGGGCAAAGGUGGAGAGAAGAAGAAGAAGGAAGAGAAGGUUCUUCCUGUUGUGAUGGACAUCACCGUGAACCUUCCGGAUGAAAGUAGUGUUGUUUUGAAGGGAAUAUCGACGGACAAGAUCAUUGACGUCCGCCAACUAUUAUCAGUGAAUACCGAAACUUGUAACAUCACCAAUUUUUCACUAUCCCAUGAGGUAAGAGGGAAACGUUUAAAAGAUACGGUGGACGUCUCCGCACUCAAGCCCUGCGUCAUCACUUUGGUCGAAGAGGACUAUGAUGAAGAGCGCGCCACCGCGCACGUGCGCCGCGUGCUGGACAUCGUCGCCUGCACGACGAGCUUCGGCGCGUCACCUCCGCCGGCGAAGGAUCAAAGCCUCAAGCCCGACGCCUCUCCCGCAGUCGUCUCCGGUAAAAAUGCUCCGGAUAAGGCCGCCAAGAAAUCCGCCGCCGCGGUCAAGCCUCAAGUCUCUGCCGGAGCCGAUAAGCGUGACGUGGCGGUGGACUCGGACGCCGAGCUGAGCCACUCUUGCCUCAAGCUCGGCUCUUUCUACGACUUCUUCUCUCUCGCUCAUCUCACUCCCCCCUCUGCAAUUUAUCAGAAGGGUGACGAAACGACAUGUCGAUGAGAUUUCGGCAGAAGAUCACCUGUAUUCUCUUGAAGUGAAGCUUUGCAAUGGGAAGGUGGUUCUGGUUGAAGCUUGCAGGAAGGGAUUCUAUAGUGUAGGGAAGCAGCGCAUUCUGUGUCACAACCUCGUCGAUUUGCUACGGCAGCUGAGUAGAGCUUUCGACAAUGCUUAUGAUGAUCUGAUGAAAGCAUUUUCGGAACGUAAUAAGUUUGGGAAUCUUCCCUAUGGCUUUCGAGCAAACACAUGGCUUGUACCGCCAGUUGCAGGUCAGUCACCUUCAGGUUUCCCUGCUCUCCCUGUGGAGGAUGAAGCUUGGGGAGGAAAUGGAGGGGGUCUAGGAAGAGACGGGAAAUUUGAUCUGAUUCCUUGGGCUAAUGAGUUUUGGUAUAUUGCAUCAAUGCCUUGCAAGACGGCGGAGGACAGGCAGGUUCGAGAUAGGAAGGCAUUCCUUCUUCACAGCCUAUUUGUCGACGUUUCCAUUUUUAGAGCCAUUAAAGCUGUGCAGCAUGUGAUGGCAAAACCGGAUUUGACUUGUUCUGCUGCAAGCAGUGAUGUUCUUUAUACUGAGAGAGUAGGGGACCUGAAUGUGACUGUAACAAAGGAUGUUAACAAUGCAAGCUGUAAGGUUGAUACUAAGAUUGAUGGAAUUCAGGCGACUGGAGUGGAUAAAAAGAAUCUAGCGCAGCGAAACCUUCUGAAAGGGAUCACUGCUGACGAGAACACCGCUGCACAUGAUGUCACCACUCUAGGUGUUGUGAAUGUCCGAUACUGUGGUUACAUUGCAGUUGUGAAAGUUGAGGGGAAAGAAACCAAGAAAAUCAGUUCUCCAUCACAAACCAUUGACCUCCUUGAUCAACCUGAAGGUGGUGCCAAUGCCCUUAAUAUCAACAGUUUGAGAUUGCUACUUCACACAACUACACCUUCGGAGCAGAAUAAACUCGCAUUACAUGGGCAAGGUCUGGAACAUGAAGAGCUUUCUGCUUCCUGCGCUUUUGUUGAGAAACUGUUAGAAGAAAGUCUUGCUAAGCUUGACAAAGAGGAGCUAGAUUCUGAUAGUUUUGUGAGAUGGGAACUAGGAGCUUGCUGGAUACAACACUUGCAAGACCAGAAAAAUACAGACAAGGAUAAGAAACCAUCAGGUGAGAAGGCUAAGAAUGAGAUGAAGGUCGAGGGACUUGGGACACCUCUUAGAUCCCUUAAGAACACAAAGAAGAAAUCAGAGGGAGCCAAUACCAAAGGCCAGUCUGAUAGCUCAAAGUCGCAUGCAGAUGGUGUUGUGGGGGAAGUAGAAAAUGCUAUAGGUUCUGUGGACUCAAAGUAUGAAACCAGUGCUAAGGAAAAUGAGCUUGUGCUGACAGAGAUGCUGUCUGAUGCAGCCUUUGCUCGACUAAAAGAAUCAGAAACUGGACUGCAUUGCAAGUCUCUGCAAGAACUGAUCGACUUAUCUCAGAAGUAUUACUCUGAAGUUGCUCUUCCAAAACUGGUAGCUGAUUUUGGUUCGUUGGAACUUUCACCAGUUGAUGGUCGAACCUUGACUGAUUUCAUGCAUACUAGAGGUCUUCAGAUGCGUUCUUUGGGGCAAGUUGUCAAGCUGUCAGAGAAGCUAUCGCAUGUGCAGUCCCUUUGUAUUCAUGAGAUGAUAGUCCGAGCUUUUAAGCAUAUACUUCAGGCAGUGAUCGCUGCUGUUAAUAACACUGAGAAAUUGGCUGUCUCGAUUGCUGCUGCAUUGAAUCUUAUGUUGGGGGCUCCAGAGAGUGAAGAAUUCAACAAGUCUUGCAACGUACAUUCCCUUGUGUGGAGAUGGCUGGAUGUAUUCUUGCGGAAGAGAUAUGGAUGGGAUGUUAGCAGCUUCAACUACAAUGACGUGAGGCGAUUUGCGAUUCUACGUGGACUGUGUCAUAAGGUGGGAAUUGAGAUUGUUCCACGUGAUUUCGAUAUGGAGUCUCCAAAUCCAUUUCGAAGUUCUGAUAUUGUCAGCUUAGUUCCAGUACAUAAGCAAGCUGCAUGCUCUUCAGCAGAUGGUAGGCAACUACUGGAGUCAUCAAAAACAGCCUUAGAUAAAGGAAAACUAGAAGAUGCGGUUGCAUAUGGCACUAAGGCUCUUGCAAAGCUGGUAGCAGUUUGUGGUCCAUACCAUCGAAUGACAGCAGGAGCUUACAGCCUCCUUGCUGUAGUUUUGUAUCACACUGGAGAUUUUAAUCAGGCUACAAUUUAUCAGCAAAAAGCUCUGGAUAUCAAUGAGAGAGAAUUAGGGCUUGACCAUCCAGACACCAUGAAGAGUUAUGGUGACCUUGCUGUGUUUUAUUACAGACUUCAACAUACAGAGUUGGCUCUCAAAUAUGUAAAACGUGCUCUAUAUCUCUUGCAUCUCACAUGUGGACCAUCUCAUCCAAAUACCGCCGCAACAUACAUCAAUGUGGCUAUGAUGGAAGAAGGCUUGGGGAAUGUACAUGUUGCCCUCAGAUAUUUACACAAGGCUUUGAAGUGUAAUCAGAAGUUACUUGGCCCAGACCAUAUUCAGACAGCGGCUAGUUACCACGCUAUUGCAAUUGCACUGUCAUUGAUGGAAGCAUACCCUUUAAGUGUUCAGCAUGAGCAGACAACAUUGCAAAUUCUGAGAGCAAAGCUUGGACCAGAUGAUCUCCGUACACAAGAUGCUGCUGCCUGGCUUGAGUAUUUUGAAUCCAAGGCUUUUGAACAGCAGGAAGCUGCAAGAAAUGGGACUCGAAAACCAGACGCAUCUAUAGCCAGCAAAGGCCACUUAAGUGUAUCAGAUUUGCUUGACUACAUCAACCCCACUCAUGAUGCUAAAGGGAGAGAUGUGGCAAUGAAGAGGAAAACCUACAUAACAAAGGAAAAAUCCUAUCAAACUAUCUCCUCAGCAAGUUCUGAAGACCCUUCAAAAGAAACCACAAAAGAUGUUUCAGACGAAGAAACACAUACACUUGAACCAAUAGAAAGAACAGAUCCCAUCCAAGAAAACAUCUCUGCUUCAGUUGAACCCCAGCAUGUUGUGGAAGAGAUUCCUGAGGAAAGUUCAAAUAUGAGCUCAUCCAAAAUACAUGUUGAAGGGGAAGAUGACUGGCAACCAGUUCAAAGGCCUAGAUCAGUGGGUUCAUAUGGGCAGCGUGUAAAACAGCGGCGGGCAGCUAUUGGGAAGGUCUAUAGUUACCAGAAGAAAUAUGUAGAUACUGACACGGAUUACCCUUCAGUGAAGAAUACUAACCAAAACAGUAGGUAUUACCUUCUCAAGAAAAGGCCAACAUCUCAUGCAAGUUAUACAGAAAAUCAGAUUGCAAAUCCCUCCCAAGGUACUAAAUUUGGACGGAGAAUUGUAAAAGCCGUAGCAUACAGAGUCAAGUCUGUGCCUUCGUCUACUAAGGUCACUGCAGCAGAAAGUUUGAGUUCCAAAUCAGAAAGUCCAAUUGUUUCACCGCAUGGUGGUGCAGUAAAAAGUUCUAUAGUCAGUCUUGGAAAAUCUCCUUCAUACAAGGAAGUAGCAUUGGCUCCACCAGGUAGUAUUGCUAAAAUGCAAACUGUUUUCCCACAGAAUGACAUUCCAGAUAACCAUGAGCAUGGUAUCCAAACACAAGAAGAGGAAAUAAUUGAAAUCAAAGGAGAUUCCCAAAGCAAUCUGGUUGUCAAAACUACACUCGAAGAAAAGAAGGAUCCUGUAUUUGAUGCCUUACGAGAGCAAACUGGACCUGCUGAGAAGAAAGAAGAUAUUAGUUCACCUGAAGGGAGGGAAGAUAACACUUCAUUGAUAUUCGGGACCGUGGAUGAACUUGGGUCCAGUUCUGUUAAGUUUCAAGAAGCAGCCGUGGAUAAAGAAUUAGUAGAUGGACUGCCAAAAUCCAUUGAUUCUGUGAAGGAGGGACUCUCUGAGAACAAUCCAUCUGACAAUUCUGAAUUGCAUGAUUCCAACUCCACUUUGCAAGGAGUAGAUGAUUUGGAGGCAUCCUCGCUCGCAACUUCAGUUGAUACUCGAGGAUUGCCAAAUAAAAAAUUAUCUGCUUCGGCAGCUCCAUUCAAUCCCUCACCAUCCAUUCGUGCUGCUCCGGUUCCCAUGAACAUUGCUAUACCCUCUGGUCCGGGAUCUAUCCCAACUAUUGCACCUUGGCCAGUAAACCUGAAUAUUCACCCAGGAGCUGCUGCUGUCUUGCCCACGGGUAAUCCCAUGUGCUCCUCUCCUCAUCAUGCAUACCCUUCUCCCCCUACUACCCCAAACAUCAUACAGCCAUUGCCAUUUAUGUUCCCUCCUUACAGUCAACCCCAAGUUGUACGAACCAGUACCUAUCCUGUGACUAGUGCGUUUCAUCCGAACCAUUUCGCGUGGCAGUGCAACGUGAACCCUAAUGUGUCCGAGUUUGUACCUACAACAGUUUGGCAUGGUUGCCACCCAAUGGAAUUCUCUGCCCCAGCACCUGUUGUUGAGCCUAUUUCUGAUCCCCCUCCUCUGGAGUCAAGAAUUCAGAAUGAUGAUUCUGCUCCAGUUCUGCCAGUGGACAUCGAUAAUGUGGGGGAAAGUAAGAAUGAAGCAGGUAUUCUAACAUCAGAGGCAACAUGUAAUUCAAUUGAAAGUGUCAAGGAAGUUGGUCCAGAUCUUUGUGGGGAUGAAAAUGCUCAAACAGAACCAUGUGACAGCCCCAAUGGAAAAGUUGGAAAUAGUGCUGAAAGGACUAGUGAUGGAGAGAAAACCUUCACCAUUUUGAUAAGGGGCAGAAGAAACCGCAAGCAGACUCUGAGAAUGCCAGUAAGUUUGCUGAGUCGACCAUAUGGCUCACAGUCCUUCAAAGUGAUAUAUAACAGGGUGGUCAGGGGGAAUGAUGCUUCGAAACCCAUCAGCUUUCCAUCGAGUGAAAACUGCACAGCUACUGCUACAUAAAACCCUUACUUGUUUUUGUUAACUAUCCCGUGUGGCAGGACUUUAGAGAAAAAAGUGGGACCCGAAUCUUCUUUUCGAUUAUAUGCAGGAGGGACAGGAUUUACUUGAUCCCUUGGCUCUUACAUUCACAACCUUGUGAUAUUCUACUUAUACAUGGUUGGCGUAAAAGAGUUCAGGUUACAGUAGGAAGAUUACUUUUGUUGGAAGUUCAGUGGGAAGAGCUUAUGGGGUGAAAAUUUUGGUUCAUCACAUAGUAAGAAAUUUUGUUAUUCUGGAUGUUGGAACCACAGCGCAUUCAAAACUGAUAUUUAUUUUGGUUACAAUAAAUGGGAUUUUGAUUUUUAAUUUGGAUCAAUUGUACAUGACUUUAUUCUUUGUUAACAUUCCUUAUCUCAUUUUAGACGAGUAUUAGCACAGUGUCAGUGAGUCAUUGUUGUGUUGCACUUGCAAUGAUGUUUCGAUUCUUGUAAAACUUUUGCCUGUUUAAGUUCAGAUUAAGCCUUUGCUUGUUCCUAACAAAUGAAAUCUUAUGUUCUUCGAAAUUCUGG